rnacentral:rRNA from 1 species
UACGUAGGGGGCAAGCGUUGUCCGGAUUUACUGGGCGUAAAGAGCGUGUAGGCGGCCGGGAAGGUCCGUUGUGAAAACUGGAGGCUCAACCUCCAGACGUCGACGGAAACCUCCUGGCUAGAGUCCGGAAGAGGAGAGUGGAAUUCCUGGUGUAGCGGUGAAAUGCGCAGAUAUCAGGAAGAACACCCAUGGCGAAGGCAGCUCUCUGGGACGGUACUGACGCUGAGACGCGAAAGCGUGGGGAGCGAACAGG